GACGAACGCUGGCGGCGUGCUUAACACAUGCAAGUCGAGCGGUAAGGCCCUUUCGGGGGUACACGAGCGGCGAACGGGUGAGUAACACGUGGGUGACCUGCCCUCAGCUCUGGGAUAAGCCUGGGAAACCGGGUCUAAUACUGGAUAUGACUCCAUGACGCAUGUUGUGGGGUGGAAAGCCUUGUGCGGCUGAGGAUGGGCCCGCGGCCUAUCAGCUUGUUGGUGGGGUGAGGCCUACCAAGGCGACGGCGGGUAGCCGGCCUGAGAGGGCGACCGGCCACACUGGGACUGAGACACGGCCCAGACUCCUACGGGAGGCAGCAGUGGGGAAUCUUGCGCAAUGGGCGAAAGCCUGACGCAGCGACGCCGCGUGAGGGAUGACGGCC
rnacentral:rRNA from 1 species